rnacentral:rRNA from 1 species
UACAGAGGUCUCAAGCGUUUGUUCGGAUUCAUUGGGCGUAAAGGGUGCGUAGGCGGCGCGGUAAAGUCGGGGUGUGAAAUCUUGGAGCUUAACUCCGAAACUGCAUUCGAUACUGCCGUGCUUGAGGACUGGAGAGGAGACUGGAAUUUACGGUGUAGCGGUGAAACUGCGUAGAUAUCGUAAGGAAGACCAGUGGCGAAGGCGGGUCUC